rnacentral:rRNA from 1 species
GAGAGACGAGAAAAGCUCUAGUGUAUACUAAGGUGCCCGUACCGCAAACCGACACAGGUAGAUGGGAUGAGUAUUCUAAGGCCAACGGGAGAAGGGUUGUUAAGGAACUCGGCAAAUUGGCCCCGUAACUUCGGGAUAAGGGGCGCCUGCGAGAGCAGGCCGCAGUGAAAAGGCCCAAGCGACUGUUUAGCAAAAACACAGCUCUCUGCUAAAUCGAAAGAUGACGUAUAGGGGGUGACGCCUGCCCGGUGCUGGAAGGUUAAGGGGAGUGCUUAGCGCAAGCGAAGGUGCGAACUUAAGCCCCAGUAAACGGCGGCCGUAACUAUAACGGUCCUAAGGUAGCGAAAUUCCUUGUCAGGUAAGUUCUGACCCGCACGAAUGGCGUAACGAUUUGGGCACUGUCUCAACAGCCCGCCCGGCGAAAUUGUAGUACCGGUGAAGAUGCCGGUUUCCCGCAACUAGACGGAAAGACCCCAUGGAGCUUCACUGUAGCUUGAUAUUGGAUCUCGGUAUUCCAUGUACAGGAUAGGUGGGAGGCUAGGAAGCGAGCGCGCCAGCGUUCGUGGAGCCAACCUUGGGAUACCACUCUUGGGAUAUUGGGAUUCUAACCUGCGACCAUGAAUCUGGUCGGGGGACACUGUCAGGUGGGCAGUUUGACUGGGGCGGUCGCCUCCAAAAGAGUAACGGAGGCGCUCAAAGGUUCGUUCAGCACGGAUGGAAAUCGUGCACUGAGUGUAAACGCAUAAACGAGCCUAACUGCGAGAAUGACGGUUCGAGCAGUAACGAAAGUUGGAGUUAGUGAUCCGGCGGUAUGUGAAUGGAAAUGCCGUCGCUCAACGGAUAAAAGCUACCCUGGGGAUAACAGGCUGAUCUCCCCCAAGAGUCCACAUCGACGGGGAGGUUUGGCACCUCGAUGUCGGCUCAUCGCAUCCUGGGGCUGAAUUCGGUCCCAAGGGUUUGGCUGUUCGCCAAUUAAAGCGGUACGCGAGCUGGGUUCAGAACGUCGUGAGACAGUUCGGUCCCUAUCUGUUGCGGGCGCAGGAAUAUUGAGAGGAGCUGUCCUUAGUACGAGAGGACCGGGAUGGACGUACCGCUGGUGCACCAGUUGUUCUGCCAAGGGCAUAGCUGGGUAGCUAAGUACGGACGAGAUAAACGCUGAAGGCAUCUAAGCGUGAAACUCCCCUCGAGAUAAGUGUUCCCAUCCUUCGGGAGUAAGGCCCCUUGUAGACUACAAGGUUGAUAGGUCAGGAGUGGAAGUGCAGUAAUGUAUGGAGCGGACUGAUACUAAUAGGCCGAGGGCUUGACCU